rnacentral:tRNA from 1 species
GGUCUUUUAGUUUAUUUUUUGAAUUUUUCACUUACAAUGAAAGGGUUGUUAGACUU